AGAGUUUCAUUUUGCAGGAGGAUAAUGUCGGUAGCUUCUGAUCAAGCCACAAGUAUCUGCAGUUACUGUGACAGAGUAAUUCCUUGUUCCAAUCUCGAUUUGCAUGUUGCUCACUGCUCCCGGAAGCUUGAAAAAUGUAAAAUUUGUGGGGAUGUGGUUCCAAAAAAACAUGCAGAAGAACAUUUCUUGAGCACUCAUGCU
rnacentral:misc_RNA from 1 species